UUUGCAUAUCAAUAAGCGGAGGAAAAGUAUGCAUAUCAAAUAUGCGGAGGAAAAGAAACCAACAGGGAUUGCCCUAGUAACGGCGAGUGAAGCGGCAACAGCUCAAAUUUGAAAGUGUUGCAUAUUCCAAAAGCGGAGGAAAAGAAACCAACAGGGAUUGCCCUAGUAACGGCGAGUGAACAGGCAAGAGCUCAGAUUUGAAAGGCACUUUUGUGCCGUUGUAUUCUGAAGUUAGGGUCCUGAGAAACGAUGCUUAAGUCUUCUGGAAAGGAGCGCCAUGGAGGGUGAUAGCCCCGUCUAGCAUUGACCUCAUAUAGGAUCUUAACAUGGAGUCGAGUUGUUUGGGAAUGCAGCUCAAAUGGGUGGUAUGCUCCAUCUAAAGCUAAAUAUCUGCGAGAGACCGAUAGUAAACAAGUACUGUGAGGGAAAGAUGAAAAGAACUUUGAAAAGAGAGUGAAAAAGUACGUGAAAUUGUUGAAAUGGAAGGGUAGGCCGCUAACCAUGUAGAGCCGUGUUUGGGGGGAAGAUAAAUGCUGUAGAAUGUAGCUCCUCGGAGUAUUAUAGAUGCAGUUCAUAUUCCCACCCGAGCGCGAGGAUCUCAGGUCUGCAAAAAUCCUCCG
rnacentral:rRNA from 1 species